rnacentral:rRNA from 1 species
UACGUAGGGCGCGAGCGUUGUCCGGAUUUAUUGGGCGUAAAGAGCUCGUAGGCGGCUUGUUGCGUCGACCGUGAAAGCCCCGGGCUCAACCUGGGAAUGGCAAUGGAUACUGGCAGGCUAGAGUGCGGUAGAGGGUAGUGGAAUUCCCGGUGUAGCGGUGAAAUGCGUAGAGAUCGGGAGGAACACCAGUGGCGAAGGCGGCUACCUGGACCAGCACUGACGUUCAGGCACGAAAGCGUGGGGAGCAAACAGG